GCCCCUGUGGCCUAAUGGAUAAGGCAUCGGUCUCCUAAACCGGGGAUUGUAGGUUCGAGUCCCACCAGGGGUA
rnacentral:tRNA from 1 species